rnacentral:rRNA from 1 species
GACGAACGCUGGCGGCGUGCUUAACACAUGCAAGUCGAGCGGUAAGGCCUUUCGGGGUACACGAGCGGCGAACGGGUGAGUAACACGUGGGUGAUCUGCCCUGCACUUCGGGAUAAGCCUGGGAAACUGGGUCUAAUACCGGAUAUGACCUCCUAUCGCAUGGUGGGUGGUGGAAGGAUUUAUCGGUGCAGGAUGGGCCCGCGGCCUAUCAGCUUGUUGGUGGGGUAAUGGCCUACCAAGGCGACGACGGGUAGCCGACCUGAGAGGGUGACCGGCCACACUGGGACUGAGACACGGCCCAGACUCCUACGGGAGGCAGCAGUGGGGAAUAUUGCACAAUGGGCGAAAGCCUGAUGCAGCGACGCCGCGUGAGGGAUGACGGCCUUCGGGUUGUAAACCUCUUUCAGCAGGGACGAAGCGCAAGUGACGGUACCUGCAGAAGAAGCACCGGCUAACUACGUG